rnacentral:rRNA from 1 species
AGAGUUUGAUCCUGGCUCAGGACGAACGCUGGCGGCGUGCCUAACACAUGCAAGUCGAGCGAGGGAUUUAUGACGGAUUCCUUCGGGAUGAAGACAUAAAUCACCUAGCGGCGGACGGGUGAGUAACGCGUGAGGAACCUACCUCCUACAAGGGGAUAGCCUCGGGAAACUGGGAUUAAUACCCUAUGACACUUAAGGGUCGCAUGAUCUUUAGGUUAAAGCGAUAUAGCGGUAGGAGAUGGCCUCGCGUCCCAUUAGCUAGUUGGUGAGGUAACGGCUCACCAAGGCGACGAUGGGUAGCCGGCCUGAGAGGGUGAACGGCCACACUGGAACUGAGACACGGUCCAGACUCCUACGGGAGGCAGCAGUGGGGAAUAUUGCACAAUGGGCGGAAGCCUGAUGCAGCGACGCCGCGUGAGCGAAGAAGGCCUUCGGGUCGUAAAGCUCUGUCCUAUGGGACGAUAAUGACGGUACCAUAGGAGGAAGCCCCGGCUAACUACGUGCCAGCAGCCGCGGUAAUACGUAGGGGGCGAGCGUUGUCCGGAAUUACUGGGCGUAAAGGGUACGUAGGCGGCUAGGUAAGUCAGAUGUGAAAUCCAUGGGCUCAACCCAUGUAAGCAUUUGAAACUGCUUAGCUUGAGUUAAGGAGAGGAAAGUGGAAUUCCUGGUGUAGCGGUGAAAUGCGUAGAUAUCAGGAGGAAUACCAGUGGCGAAGGCGACUUUCUGGUCUUAAACUGACGCUGAGGUACGAAAGCGUGGGGAGCAAACAGGAUUAGAUACCCUGGUAGUCCACGCCGUAAACGAUGAGUGCUAGGUGUCGGGGGUUUAACCUUCGGUGCCGCAGUUAACACAUUAAGCACUCCGCCUGGGGAGUACGUUCGCAAGAAUGAAACUCAAAUGAAUUUGACGG